rnacentral:rRNA from 1 species
CACGUAGGGUGCGAGCGUUGUUCGGAAUUACUGGGCGUAAAGGGCUCGUAGGCGGCCAACUAAGUCAUACGUGAAAUCCCUCAGCUUAACUGGGGAACUGCGUGUGAUACUGGAUGGCUUGGAUUUGGGAGAGGGAUGCGGAAUUCCAGGUGUAGCGGUGAAAUGCGUAGAUAUCUGGAGGAACACCGGUGGCGAAGGCGGCAUCCUGGACCAAUAUUGACGCUGAGGAGCGAAAGCCAGGGGAGCAAACGGG